GGAGUAUGGACCGUCUCUCAGUUCCAUUGUGACCGUUCAUCCUCUCAGACCGGUUACCGAUCGUCGGUUUGGUGAGCCUUUACCUCGCCAACUGCCUAAUCGGACGCAGGCUCCUCAUAUGGCGAUAAAUCUUUAAUAACUUCUUCAUGCGAAAAAAUUAUAACAUUCGGUAUUAGCAGCCCUUUCGAACUGUUGUCCCCAUCCAUAUGGCAGAUUACCUACGCGUUACUCACCCGUUUGCCACUGGGACCGAAGUCCCCGUUCGACUUGCAUGUGUUAAGCACGCCGCC
rnacentral:rRNA from 1 species